GGCCCCAUCGUCUAUCGGCUAGGACGCGACCUUCUCAAGGUCGAGAGCAGGGUUCGACUCCCUGUGGGGUCA
rnacentral:tRNA from 1 species